GACGGUCCAUUUCCUGUCCUUCUUGGAGGCCGAAAUCGCGCGCAGAAGACUUCUCCCCAUGGCGGAGCACCUCGGAGAGGGGGUCCACAAGGAGAUCACGGCGAACGACACAGGCCUGACCAUUCGCCUGAUGGCCGAUAACUGGGACCUGCUGCAGAUUGCCACCGUCAAACUGGUCUCCCAGCUCUACGUGGUGGUCCAGUCCAUGCAGCCCUAUUGGUCCUGCUUUCAAAGGAAGCUGGGACCCAGCACGGAUAGCUGAGCCUUUGGGUGCCGUCCCCCGCUCUUGUGUCCCUCCGAAGCUGGAAGAGGAGGACGGGUUGGGUGGUAACUCUCUGUCCCAGCUCAAAAUAAAGCUGAGAUUCUUUAAUUCCGAGUCCGGGGUCCCUUCUCUGCACAAAAAUAAAGCUGAGAUUCUUCUA